rnacentral:tRNA from 1 species
GCCCUGGUGGUGGAAUUGGUAGACACGCGGGACUUAAAAUCCCGUGGCAUUUAAUGCCUUGCGGGUUCAAGUCCCGCCCGAGGUACAA